AGGUCCAAUCCAGUCCAAAUCUCUUUAAAGGUAUCGAACAAGAGCCUGUACAAGAACCACAAGCUCAGUCCUGUAUAGGUGGAGACAGGCCAGUUAAUUUCUUACCCACUGAAAAAGUCUUCAUGGUGGAAUCCCUCCUGAAAUCAAGCAAUUUCAGAGAAAAAAGAAGGUAUCGCGUCAGCCUGGAUGAAAUUCAGCGUCGCAUUGGUCCCCCAGAGUUUCUGUCUUUAAAUGGGCUUGUGUCAUAUCUGCGGACAGCAAAAUCCAAUAAAGAC